CCUACGGGGCGCAGCAGUGAGGAAUAUUGGUCAGUGGCCGGAAGGCUGAACCAGCCAAGUCGCGUGAGGGACGACUGCCCUAUGGGUUGUAAACCUCUUUUAUAAGGGAAGAGUAAAUGCUACGUGUAGCAUGAUGCCUGUACCUUAUGAAUAAGCAUCGGCUAACUCCGUGCCAGCAGCCGCGGUAAUACGGAGGAUGCGAGCGUUAUCCGGAUUUAUUGGGUUUAAAGGGUGCGUAGGCGGUCUGUUAAGUCAGCGGUAAAAUUGCGGGGCUCAACCCCGUCGAGCCGUUGAAACUGGCAGAC
rnacentral:rRNA from 1 species